rnacentral:rRNA from 1 species
UACGAAGGGGGCUAGCGUUGUUCGGAAUUACUGGGCGUAAAGCGCACGUAGGCGGAAUGUUAAGUCAGGGGUGAAAUCCCGGGGCUCAACCCCGGAACUGCCUUUGAUACUGGCAUUCUCGAGUCCGGAAGAGGUAAGUGGAAUUCCGAGUGUAGAGGUGAAAUUCGUAGAUAUUCGGAGGAACACCAGUGGCGAAGGCGGCUCACUGGUCCGGUACUGACGCUGAGGUGCGAAAGCGUGGGGAGCAAACAGG